CCUACGGGUGGCAGCAGUGAGGAAUAUUGGUCAAUGGGCGGGAGGCUGAACCAGCCAAGUCGCGUGAAGGACGACAGCGCUAUGGGUUGUAAACUUCUUUUAUAAAGGGACAAAAUGCGCCACGAGAGCCUGUCUGUGGGUACUUGAUGAAAAAGCAUCGGCUAAUUCCGUGCCAGCAGCCGCGGUAAUACGGAGGAUGCGAGCGUUAUCCGGAUUUAUUGGGUUUAAAGGGUGCGUAGGCGGAUUGUUAAGUCAGCGGUAAAAGCCUGGGGCUCAACCGUAGCGGGCCGUUGAAACUGGGUGUCUUGAGAAUGCGAAGGGUACGUGGAAUGCGUAGUGUAGCGGUGAAAUGCUUAGAUAUUGCGCAGAACUCCGAUCGCGAAGGCAUCGUACCGGAGGAAGUCUGACGCUGAGGCUCGAAAGUGCGGGUAUCGAACAGGAUUAGAUACCCGUGUAGUC
rnacentral:rRNA from 1 species